GACGAACGCUGGCGGCGUGCUUAACACAUGCAAGUCGAACGGAAAGGCCCUGCUUUUGUGGGGUGCUCGAGUGGCGAACGGGUGAGUAACACGUGAGUAACCUGCCCUUGACUUUGGGAUAACUUCAGGAAACUGGGGCUAAUACAGGAUAGGAGCUCCUGCUGCAUGGUGGGGGUUGGAAAGAUUCGGCGGUUGGGGAUGGACUCGCGGCUUAUCAGCUUGUUGGUGGGGUAGUGGCUUACCAAGGCUUUGACGGGUAGCCGGCCUGAGAGGGUGACCGGCCACAUUGGGACUGAGAUACGGCCCAGACUCCUACGGGAGGCAGCAGUGGGGAAUAUUGCACAAUGGGCGGAAGCCUGAUGCAGCAACGCCGCGUGCGGGAUGACGGCCUUCGGGUUGUAAACCGCUUUCGCCUGUGACGAAGCGUGAGUGACGGUAAUGGGUAAAGAAGCACCGGCUAACUACGUG
rnacentral:rRNA from 1 species